UACGAAGGGGGCUAGCGUUGUUCGGAUUUACUGGGCGUAAAGCGCACGUAGGCGGGUCGUUAAGUCGGGGGUGAAAUCCUGGAGCUCAACUCCAGAACUGCCUUCGAUACUGGCGAUCUAGAGUCCGGAAGAGGUGAGUGGAACUCCUAGUGUAGAGGUGGAAUUCGUAGAUAUUAGGAAGAACACCAGUGGCGAAGGCGGCUCACUGGUCCGGUACUGACGCUGAGGUGCGAAAGCGUGGGGAGCAAACAGG
rnacentral:rRNA from 1 species